rnacentral:rRNA from 1 species
GCUAACUUCGGGCGCGCAGCGGAGGUAAUACGUAGUGGGCGAGCGGUGCUCGGAAUCACUGGUCGUAAAGCGCACGCAGGUGGCUUUCUAAGUCAGGGGUGAAAUCCGGCAGCUCAACGCAGGAAUUGCCUGUGAUACUGGAGUGCUCGAGUCCGGAAGAGGUGAGGGGAACUGCAAGUGUAGAGGUGAAAUUCGUAGAUAUUCGCAAGAACACCAGUGGCGAAGGCGGCUCACUGGUCCGUUACUGACGCUGAGGUGCGAAAGCGUGGGGAGCAAACAGGAUUAGAUACCCGAGUAGUC